CCCUCCACUUCAGUCUAUAAUACAAACGAAGAUCAGCCAUUUGUUGCAUCCAAGGUAAACUGGCCUGGAUUUGUGGUCUGAGUUCACCAUAUUUCCACAGUAUGACAUUGAAGAAGAAAGGAAUUUUACUUGUCACUUGAUAGUUACUAUCUCAUGACACUAAGCUAUGACUUGGAGACAAAGACCAAGUCAAGCCCCACUGUGAGAUUCAAUGAUUCUUUGGUGGAGAAAGAAGCAUUUGAUGUGGAGCCUGACACACCUGAAAGUAAGCUCCAUAGGGCAAGGAUUUUUGUCUACUUUGCUCACCACUGUAUCCCAAGGGCCUAUCUCAUAGUCUCAAACAGUGAACAUCUUUGCGGAAGGGAGGGGAAGAAAUAUCUAGCACAGCUGCUUCCGAAUUCCCUGGCUGGUCUGAGAACUCUGUGAAGCUGUGACGGAACCCCCCGGAGAUGUUCUGCAGCUCCAGGCCUCACUUCACAGACUCAC